GAUGAACGCUGGCGGCGUGCCUAAUACAUGCAAGUCGAGCGAACAGAUGAGGAGCUUGCUCCUCUGACGUUAGCGGCGGACGGGUGAGUAACACGUGGAUAACCUACCUAUAAGACUGGGAUAACUUCGGGAAACCGGAGCUAAUACCGGAUAAUAUAUUGAACCGCAUGGUUCAAUAGUGAAAGACGGUUUUGCUGUCACUUAUAGAUGGAUCCGCGCCGCAUUAGCUAGUUGGUAAGGUAACGGCUUACCAAGGCAACGAUGCGUAGCCGACCUGAGAGGGUGAUCGGCCACACUGGAACUGAGACACGGUCCAGACUCCUACGGGAGGCAGCAGUAGGGAAUCUUCCGCAAUGGGCGAAAGCCUGACGGAGCAACGCCGCGUGAGUGAUGAAGGUCUCCGGAUCGUAAAACUCUGUUAUUAGGGAAGAACAAAUGUGUAAGUAACUAUGCACGUCUUGACGGUACCUAAUCAGAAAGCCACGGCUAACUACGUG
rnacentral:rRNA from 1 species